AAUGAAGGAGAGGGGCUUGCUAAGGUUAUAUCUCUCAACUUUUCUCCUUCAUCAAUAGUGUUUCUUUGGCAAACACAAUGCAAGUAGUCAAUUGAUUUGCCUUCUGUUGUUGUCCUCUUUAAAUGAAUAGCUAGUGACUAUAUAUUUCUAAAGCUGUUCCUUGGAUGUUUGUUGGUACAUAAAUUAUUUAUUAGUUAUCUACUUCUGUUGAUAUUAGAUAAAUUUCCUUUGCUGCUCCAUGGUUACUAAUUUUUUUUUUAAAUCUUCAUGCAA
rnacentral:misc_RNA from 1 species